AGCGAACGCUGGCGGCAGGCCUAACACAUGCAAGUCGAACGAACCUUUCGGGGUUAGUGGCGGACGGGUGAGUAACACGUGGGAACGUGCCUUUAGGUUCGGAAUAACUCAGGGAAACUUGUGCUAAUACCGAAUGUGCCCUUCGGGGGAAAGAUUUAUCGCCUUUAGAGCGGCCCGCGUCUGAUUAGCUAGUUGGUUGAGGUAUUGGCUCACCAAGGCGACGAUCAGUAGCUGGUCUGAGAGGAUGAUCAGCCACAUUGGGACUGAGACACGGCCCAAACUCCUACGGGAAGCAGCAGUGGGGAAUCUUGCGCAAUGGGCGAAAGCCUGACGCAGCCAUGCCGCGUGAAUGAUGAAGGUCUUAGGAUUGUAAAAUUCUUUCACCGGGGACGAUAAUGACGGUACCCGGAGAAGAAGCCCCGGCUAACUUCGUG
rnacentral:rRNA from 1 species